rnacentral:rRNA from 1 species
GUCCACGCCGUAAACGUUGGGCGCUAGGUGUGGGGCUCAUUCCACGAGUUCCGUGCCGCAGCUAACGCAUUAAGCGCCCCGCCUGGGGAGUACGGCCGCAAGGCUAAAACUCAAAGGAAUUGACGGGGGCCCCGCACAAGCGGCGGAGCAUGUUGCUUAAUUCGAUGCAACGCGAAGAACCUUACCUAGGCUUGACAUGCACGGAAAUCCUCCAGAGAUGGGGGGUCCGUAAGGCCGUGCACAGGUGGUGCAUGGUUGUCGU